UACGUAGGUGGCAAGCGUUGUCCGGAUUUAUUGGGUUUAAAGGGUGCGUAGGCGGUUUCAUAAGUCAGUGGUGAAAUACGGCAGCUCAACUGUCGAGGUGCCAUUGAUACUGUGAGACUUGAGUACAGACGAGGGAGGCGGAAUUGACGGUGUAGCGGUGAAAUGCGCAGAUAUCAGGAGGAACACCAAUGGCGAAGGCAGCACUCUGGGACGUGACUGACGCUGAGACGCGAAAGCGUGGGGAGCAAACAGG
rnacentral:rRNA from 1 species